rnacentral:rRNA from 1 species
GAUGAACGCUAGCGGCAGGCCUAAUACAUGCAAGUCGAGGGAUAGUGGUUGCUUGCAGCCAUGAGACCGGCGCACGGGUGCGUAACGCGUAUGCAACCUACCUUCAUCUGGGGGAUAGCCCGGAGAAAUCCGGAUUAAUACCGCAUAAAAUCACAGUACGGCAUCGUACAAUGAUCAAACAUUUAUGGGAUGGAGAUGGGCAUGCGUGUCAUUAGUUAGUUGGCGGGGUAACGGCCCACCAAGACCGCGAUGACUAGGGGAUCUGAGAGGAUGACCCCCCACACUGGUACUGAGACACGGACCAGACUCCUACGGGAGGCAGCAGUAAGGAAUAUUGGUCAAUGAGCGCAAGCCUGAACCAGCCAUGCCGCGUGCAGGAAGACGGCCCUCUGGGUUGUAAACUGCUUUUAUUCGGGAAUAAACCUGCUUACGUGUAAGUAGCUGAAUGUACCGAAGGAAUAAGGAUCGGCUAACUCCGUGCCAGCCGCCGCAGUAAGAC